GAUGUUUUGUCUCUAGUUAAGAUCGGGAGGUGCACAAGUCUUGGAAGGAUGCAUAGCAGAAAUACACAAUAUCACCAGCCUAGAUAUUUCAGACAAUGGCCUAGAAUCUGACCUCUCAACCCUUGUAGUCUGGCUUAGUAAAAACCGAUCGAUAAGACACUUGGCGUUAGGCAAAAACUUUAACAACAUGAAAUCCAAAAAUCUCACUCCAGUACUUGAUAAUUUAGUUCAGAUGAUUCAAGACGAGGAUUCACCUCUGCAGUCGUUGUCCCUCGCAGAUUCCAAGCUGAAGACUGAGGUCACCAUCAUUAUCAAUGCCUUGGGCAGCAAUACUUCUCUUACAAAAGUGGAUAUUAGUGGAAAUUCCAUGGGAGAUAUGGGAGCAAAGAUGCUGGCAAAAGCCCUACAGAUAAACACCAAGCUCAG